rnacentral:rRNA from 1 species
GAUGAACGCUGGCGGCGUGCCUAAUACAUGCAAGUCGAGCGAACGGACGAGAAGCUUGCUUCUCUGAUGUUAGCGGCGGACGGGUGAGUAACACGUGGAUAACCUACCUAUAAGACUGGGAUAACUUCGGGAAACCGGAGCUAAUACCGGAUAAUAUUUUGAACCGCAUGGUUCAAAAGUGAAAGACGGUCUUGCUGUCACUUAUAGAUGGAUCCGCGCUGCAUUAGCUAGUUGGUAAGGUAACGGCUUACCAAGGCAACGAUGCAUAGCCGACCUGAGAGGGUGAUCGGCAACACUGGAACUGGGACACGGUCCAGACUCCUACGGGAGGCAGCAGAAGGGAAUCUUCCGCAAUGGGCGAAAGCCUGACGGAGCAACGCCGCGUGAGUGAUGAAGGUCUUCGGAUCGUAAAACCCUGUUAUUGGGGAAGAACAUAUGUGUAAGGAACUGUGCACAUCGUGACGGUACCUAAUCAGAAAGCCACGGCUAACUACGUG